UAGGGAAUCUUCCGCAAUGGGCGAAAGCCUGACGGAGCAACGCCGCGUGAGUGAUGAAGGUCUUCGGAUCGUAAAACUCUGUUAUUAGGGAAGAACAAAUGUGUAAGUAACUAUGCACGUCUUGACGGUACCUAAUCAGAAAGCCACGGCUAACUACGUGCCAGCAGCCGCGGUAAUACGUAGGUGGCAAGCGUUAUCCGGAAUUAUUGGGCGUAAAGCGCGCGUAGGCGGUUAGAUAAGUCUGAAGUUAAAGGCAGUGGCUCAACCAUUGUAGGCUUUGGAAACUGUUUAACUUGAGUGCAGAAGGGGAGAGUGGAAUUCCAUGUGUAGCGGUGAAAUGCGUAGAUAUAUGGAGGAACACCGGUGGCGAAAGCGGCUCUCUGGUCUGUAACUGACGCUGAGGCUCGAAAGCGUGGGGAGCGAACAGG
rnacentral:rRNA from 1 species